UACGGAAGGCAGCAGUGGGGAAUAUUGCACAAUGGGCGAAAGCCUGAUGCAGCUAUGCCGCGUGUAUGAAGAAGGCCUUAGGGUUGUAAAGUACUUUCAUCGGGGAGGAAAAAACAAAACUAAUAAUUUUAUUUCUUGACGUUACCCGAAAAAGAAGCACCGGCUAACUCCGUGCCAGCAGCCGCGGUAAUACGGAGGGUGCUAGCGUUAAUCAGAAUUACUGGGCGUAAAGAGCACGUAGGUGGUUUUUUUAAGUCAGAUGUGAAAUCCCUGGGCUUAACCUAGGAACUGCAUUUUGAAACUGAAAUACUAGAGUAUCGUAGAGGGGGUAGAAUUCUAGGUGUAGCGGUGAAAUGCGUAGAUAUCUGGAGGAAUACCUGUGGCGAAAGCGGCCUCCUAAACGAAUACUGACACUGAGGGUGCGAAAGCGUGGGGAGCAAACAGGGAUUAGAUACC
rnacentral:rRNA from 1 species